AUACUCUGGUUUCUCUACAGAUCAUAUAAAUCUUUUGCCUUUUACUAAAGAUUUCCGUGGAGAGGGGAAAAAAAAAAAGAAUAAGAUACCUA
rnacentral:snRNA from 1 species